UAUAAUGUAAUGUGGAGGCAGUAUAAUGUAAUGUGGAGGCAGUAUAAUGUAAUGUGGAGGCAGUAUAAUGUAAUGUGGAGGUAGUAUAAUGUAAUGUGGAGGCAGUAUAAUGUAACAUGGAGGCAGUAUAAUGUAAUGUAGAGGCAGUAUAAUGUAAUGUAGAGGCAGUAUAAUGUAAUGUGGAGGCAGUAUAAUGUAAUGUGGAGGCAGUAUAAUAUAAUGUGGAGGCAGUAUAAUGUAAUGUGCAGGCAGUAUAAUGUAACGUGGAUGCAGUAUAAUGUAAUUUGGAGGCAGUAUAAUGUAACGUGGAGGCAGUAUAAUGUAAUGUGGAGGCAGUAUAAUGUAAUGUGGAGGCAGUAUAAUGUAACGUGGAGGCAGUAUAAUGUAAUGUGGAGGCAGUAUAAUGUAA
ensembl:lncRNA